ensembl:rRNA 5S_rRNA 5S ribosomal RNA
GUCUACGGCCAUACCACCUUGAACACGCCCGAUCUCGUCUGACCUUGGAAGCUAAGCAGGGUCGGGCCUGGUUAGUACUUGGAUGGGAGAUAUCCAGUCAUAAGGUCCUAAAUUCAAUCCUCACAACUGCAUAUU